rnacentral:rRNA from 1 species
AGUAACGGCGAGUGAAGCGGCAACAGCUCAAAUUUGAAAUCUGGCCCCAGGCCCGAGUUGUAAUUUGCAGAGGAUGCUUUUGGCGCGGUGCCUUCCGAGUUCCCUGGAACGGGACGCCAUAGAGGGUGAGAGCCCCGUACGGUUGGACUCCAAGCCUUUGUAAAGCUCCUUCGACGAGUCGAGUUGUUUGGGA